UCUCGGGACCUUUAAAAGCUAGAAAUUUUCUUAUUGAACAGACUUUGGCAGAGGAAAGGAUCAACACAUAACAUAACAUUGUCAUUAUCAUCACAUGAAGAGGAAAACAUUAAUGAACAGAAAACAAGCUAAACAGCCUGGACCUGCAAACCAAGAGAGCCAAAGAUAAACUACAAGAGUAAUAAGAAACUACAUUCUUCUAUAAACCUCAUCUGGACUCAACAAUCAACAGAAAGCUCAUCAAAGGCCUGUGAACCGUAUCGCUAUGACAGAAUAUAAAGAUGAAGAAACAGAACGCAAACAUCAACAGCUGAGAGAAAACCCAGAGACCCUGCUUGAGGACAGAAACAGAAGAAACAGACUCACUAACCUGCUCUUUUACACACCACGGUUACCUGUCUGGAAGAGAAAAAUCAGUGACUAUUUUACAAAUGUCGACAAGAGAUAUAUUGAUAUUAACGGGGAACAAAUGUCUGUAUAUGAAGACGAACAACAUCAAAAUAAGUAUCUUUCAGUUAACCUCUAUGACACCGGGAUUGUAAUGAUACAGGGAAAACAGGAUGACCUCAUAACAUUUCAGAACACCUUCAACAAGUUAAAAGAAAGCAUUAAGGUUCCCUAAUCUAUCUAUCUAUCUAUCUAUCUAUCUAUCUAUCUAUCUAUCUAUCUAUCUAUCUAUCAUCUAUCUAUCUAUCUAUCUAUCUAUCUAUCUAUCUAUCUAUCUAUCUAUCUAUCUAUCUAUCCAUCUAUCCAUCUAUCAUGGUUUUGAGGAAAUUUAAGAGUGAAAUUUUGAGGUGAUUUAAAGAUAAAGGACAUAUGUCUGUUGUAUUUCAUUGAUUGUUUUCUUAUCCAUAUAUGCAUACUCAUUCACAAUCAUUUUUCGCCAUUAUGUCUAUUGUAAUGUUAAGUGUUGUUUUGUGUUCUUAAGUAGAGACAAAUGAAUGUUUCCAUGUCAUAAUUUUCAAUGGCAUCACAUGUUGUAAACGCAUGUUGAAUUGGAUUCUAGUCAGACAAGGUCAGGCUGAGUAUGUAAUGCAGUUCAGAAUAUUCAAUAAACUGCUUGUGUUAUUUUCUUUUCCUUUAGUGAAAUGCUGGGGGGGGAUCUUUACAAAAAGGAUAGUGGUGCUAAGGCUGAUUCGCUGACUAUUUUAAACUCUUCAGACCAGGCUUUGUCAAGCCAACAUAAAGUUUGUUAUCAAACUUUACUAUCUAGUUUACACUUGAAGAUCUAAAGCUGUGUGACUAAGACUGUUGUAGAUGUAGAACACUAAGCAGUGUUCAUUUACACUGUAACUUAACUGAGUUAAAGCAUCAAGAUGACUUCAGAUCAUUUAAAUGAGUCAAGUUGAGUGAACAAAUCUUGGCUGAUGACAUCAAAGUACCGC